rnacentral:misc_RNA from 1 species
GCUACUACCGAUUGAAUGGUUUAGCGAGAUGCUCGGAUCGGGCCCAGCUCGUGCGAAAGCAUGUGCCGGGACUGAGAAGAAGUUCAAGCUUGAUCAUUUAGAGGAAGUAAAAGUCGUAACAAGGUUUCUGUAGGUGAACCUGCAGAAGGAUCAAGAUCUGACAAGCGUCGUGUAGGUAAAGUGUUUUGAUCUCGGUGUUCGCCUUAUCAUUCAAAACACAAAUCUUUAUUACUCUUUUUCUACUUUUUGUCUACUCUCUCCUUACUUUCUUGUUUCC